CCUACGGGAGGCAGCAGUGGGGAAUAUUGCACAAUGGGGGGAACCCUGAUGCAGCGACGCCGCGUGAGCGAGGAAGGAUUUCGGGAUGUAAAGCUCGAGCAGCAGGGACGAAAAAAGACGGGACCGGACUAAGAAGCACCGGCUAACUACGUGCCAGCAGCCGCGGUAAUACGUCGGGGGCAAGCGUUAUCCGGAUUUACUGGGUGGAAAGGGAGCGUAGACGGCACGGAAAGACAGAAGUGAAAGGGCCGGGCUCAACCCUGUACAUGCUUUUGGAACGGUGGUGCGAGAGUGCAGGAGAGGUAAGUGGAAUUCCUCGUGUAGCGGUGAACUGCCUAGAUAUUAGG
rnacentral:rRNA from 1 species